rnacentral:misc_RNA from 1 species
UUCACACGUACCUUAGGGAAA